rnacentral:rRNA from 1 species
CCCAGCCGGGUGGAUGAUGUGGUUUAAUUCGAUGCAACGCGAAAAACCUUACCCACCUUUGACAUGUAUGGAAUCCUGAAGAGAUUUGGGAGUGCUCGAAAGAGAGCCAUAACACAGGUGCUGCAUGGCUGUCGUCAGCUCGUGUCGUGAGAUGUUGGGUUAAGUCCCGCAACGAGCGCAACCCUUGCCAUUAGUUGCUACGAAAGGGCACUCUAAUGGGACUGCCGGUGACAAACCGGAGGAAGGUGGGGAUGACGUCAAGUCCUCAUGGCCCUUAUAGGUGGGGCUACACACGUCAUACAAUGGCUGGUACAGAGGGUUGCCAACCCGCGAGGGGGAGCCAAUCCCAUAAAGCCAGUCGUAGUCCGGAUCGCAGUCUGCAACUCGACUGCGUGAAGUCGGAAUCGCUAGUAAUCGCGGAUCAAAAUGUCGCGGUGAAUACGUUCCCGGGUCUUGUACACACCGCCCGUAU